rnacentral:rRNA from 1 species
CGUACACUCCUGCGGGAGGCAGCAGUGGGGAAUAUUGCACAAUGGGCGCAAGCCUGAUGCAGCCAUGCCGCGUGUAUGAAGAAGGCCUUCGGGUUGUAAAGUACUUUCAGCGGGGAGGAAGGCGAUAAGGUUAAUAACCUUGUCGAUUGACGUUACCCGCAGAAGAAGCACCGGCUAACUCCGUGCCAGCAGCCGCGGUAAUACGGAGGGUGCAAGCGUUAAUCGGAAUUACUGGGCGUAAAGCGCACGCAGGCGGUCUGUCAAGUCGGAUGUGAAAUCCCCGGGCUCAACCUGGGAACUGCAUUCGAAACUGGCAGGCUAGAGUCUUGUAGAGGGGGGUAGAAUUCCAGGUGUAGCGGUGAAAUGCGUAGAGAUCUGGAGGAAUACCGGUGGCGAAGGCGGCCCCCUGGACAAAGACUGACGCUCAGGUGCGAAAGCGUGGGGAGCAAACAGGAUUAGAUACCCGCAGUAGUCCCA